rnacentral:rRNA from 1 species
GCUUACACAUGCAGUCGAACGCCCCGCAAGGGGAGUGGCAGACGGGUGAGUAACGCGUGGGAAUCUACCCAACCCUGCGGAAUAGCUCUGGGAAACUGGAAUUAAUACCGCAUACGCCCUACGGGGGAAAGAUUUAUCGGGGAUGGAUGAGCCCGCGUUGGAUUAGCUAGUUGGUGGGGUAAAGGCCUACCAAGGCGACGAUCCAUAGCUGGUCUGAGAGGAUGAUCAGCCACAUUGGGACUGAGACACGGCCCAAACUCCUACGGGAGGCAGCAGUGGGGAAUAUUGGACAAUGGGCGCAAGCCUGAUCCAGCCAUGCCGCGUGAGUGAUGAAGGCCUUAGGGUUGUAAAGCUCUUUCACCGGUGAAGAUAAUGACGGUAACCGGAGAAGAAGCCCCGGCUAACUUCGUGCCAGCAGCCGCGGUAAUACGAAGGGGGCUAGCGUUGUUCGGAAUUACUGGGCGUAAAGCGCACGUAGGCGGAUAUUUAAGUCAGGGGUGAAAUCCCAGAGCUCAACUCUGGAACUGCCUUUGAUACUGGGUAUCUUGAGUAUGGAAGAGGUAAGUGGAAUUGCGAGUGUACAGGUGAAAUUCGUAGAUAUUCGCAGGAACACCAGUGGCGAAGGCGGCUUACUGGUCCAUAACUGACGCU